AACGAACGCUGGCGGCAGGCCUAACACAUGCAAGUCGAGCGGACCCUUCGGGGUUAGCGGCGGACGGGUGAGUAACGCGUGGGAAUAUGCCCUUCUCUACGGAAUAGUCCUGGGAAACUGGGGGUAAUACCGUAUACGCCCUUUGGGGGAAAGAUUUAUCGGGGAAGGAUUAGCCCGCGUUGGAUUAGGUAGUUGGUGGGGUAAUGGCCUACCAAGCCGACGAUCCAUAGCUGGUUUGAGAGGAUGAUCAGCCACACUGGGACUGAGACACGGCCCAGACUCCUACGGGAGGCAGCAGUGGGGAAUCUUAGACAAUGGGGGCAACCCUGAUCUAGCCAUGCCGCGUGAGUGAUGAAGGCCUUAGGGUUGUAAAGCUCUUUCAGCUGGGAAGAUAAUGACGGUACCAGCAGAAGAAGCCCCGGCUAACUUCGUG
rnacentral:rRNA from 1 species